AAGUCUGGUGCCAGCAGCCGCGGUAACUUCAGCUCCAAUAGCGUAUAUUAACAUUGUUGCAUUUAAAAAGCUCGUAGUUGAAUUUAUUUUUAUAAAUUUUAUAUAAGUAGUAUUAUUUUAUAAUAAAAUUAUUUAAAUUUAUUUUCUAUAAUUUUAUUAUAUAUUAAACGGUAAUAUUAUUUAUAAUUUAUAAAAAAAUUUUAUGUUAUAUUAUUUAGUAAUAGAUAAUAUAAUAUAAAUAUUACUGUGAAAAAAUUAGAGUGUUUAAAGCAUGUAUAUAAAAUUAAAAAAUAUAUUUUCUGAAUAUAUUUUUUUAGCUUGAAUAUAUUAGCAUGGAAUAAUAAUAUUAUAAUAUUUUUAUAUUAUUUUGUUGGUUAAAUAUAAAAAUAUAUGAUUAAUAGGGACAAUUGGGGGUAUUUAUAUUUCAUAGUCAGAGGUGAAAUUCUGGGAUUUAUGAAAGAUAAACAAAUGCGAAAGCAUUUACCAAAAAUGUUUUCAUUAAUCAAGAACGAAAGUUAGGGGAUCAAAGAGGCUUAGAUACCCUCGUAG
rnacentral:rRNA from 1 species